rnacentral:rRNA from 1 species
GACGAACGCUGGCGGCGUGCUUAACACAUGCAAGUCGAGCGGAGCGGCGAACGGGGGAGUAACGCGUGAGUAACUGCCCCCCUCUCUGGGAUAACAGUUGGAAACGGCAGCUAAUACCGGAUAGUGGGGGAUGACUCGCGUCAUAUCAGCUUGUUGGUGGGGUAGUGGCCUACCAAGGCGACGACGGGUAGCCGGCCUUAGAGGGCGACCGGCCACAUUGGGCUGAGAGACGGCCCAAACUCCUACGGUAGGCAGCAGUGGGGAAUCUUGCACAAUGGUGGAACGCGUGAUGCAGCAACGCGCGUGCGGAAUGACGGCCUUCGGGGUGUAAACCGCUUUCAGCCAUGACGCGGUAGUGGCAGAAGAAGCACCGGCUAACUACGUGCCAGCAGCCGCGGUAAUUC